rnacentral:ncRNA from 1 species
AAUCUUCGGGGCGAGGUGUAAUUCCUCGACCGGCGGUAAUAGCCCGCGAACCUUUGUAACUAUUGGUUGAAUCUGUGAAAUUCAGAUGCCGACGGUAUAGUCCGGAUGGUAGAAGA